GUAAUCCUGGGUUGUGCGAUGCUCCUAUUAUUUUUGAACCUACAUUUACUUUAAACGGGAUUCCUAUAUUGCCAGUUGGAUGUCAGGCCGUCAUUGCGCAGCGGAAGGCAGAAGAGUGGUUGCGGUCACCCACCUAGCAACAGCUAGGAGUCAGAAGAUAGGAAACGGCAUCUCGGGAUUACU
rfam:Firmicutes bacterium CAG:227 genomic scaffold, scf145